UACAGAGGGGGCAAGCGUUGUCCGGAAUCACUGGGCGUAAAGGGCGCGUAGGUGGUUUGAUAAGGGUGUGGUGAAAGCCCGGGGCUCAACCCCGGGUCUGCCGUGCUGACUGUCAAACUCGAGGGCUGUAGAGGCAGACGGAAUUCCGGGUGUAGCGGUGGAAUGCGUAGAGAUCCGGAGGAAGACCGGUGGCGAAGGCGGUCUGCUGGGCAGUUUCUGACACUGAUGCGCGACAGCGUGGGGAGCAAACAGG
rnacentral:rRNA from 1 species